AAUGGAAUGCCUGACCAAAGGAUUAUCGUGAUAGGAUAAAUAAUGUAAGCAAUUACUUCCAUUA
rnacentral:tRNA from 1 species